rnacentral:rRNA from 1 species
AUUGAACGCUGGCGGCAGGCUUAACACAUGCAAGUCGAGCGGAGAUGAGGUGCUUGCACCUUAUCUUAGCGGCGGACGGGUGAGUAAUGCUUAGGAAUCUGCCUAUUAGUGGGGGACAACAUUCCGAAAGGAAUGCUAAUACCGCAUACGUCCUACGGGAGAAAGCAGGGGACCUUCGGGCCUUGCGCUAAUAGAUGAGCCUAAGUCGGAUUAGCUAGUUGGUGGGGUAAAGGCCUACCAAGGCGAUGAUCUGUAGCGGGUCUGAGAGGAUGAUCCGCCACACUGGGACUGAGACACGGCCCAGACUCCUACGGGAGGCAGCAGUGGGGAAUAUUGGACAAUGGGCGGAAGCCUGAUCCAGCCAUGCCGCGUGUGUGAAGAAGGCCUUUUGGUUGUAAAGCACUUUAAGCGAGGAGGAGGCUACUAGUACUAAUACUACUGGAUAGUGGACGUUACUCGCAGAAUAAGCACCGGCUAACUCUGUGCCAGCCGCCGCGGUAAGAC